UACGUAGGGGGCAAGCGUUGUCCGGAUUUACUGGGCGUAAAGCGCGCGUAGGCGGCUUCUUAAGUCAGGGGUGAAAUCCUGGAGCUCAACUCCAGAACUGCCUUUGAUACUGAGAAGCUUGAGUCCGGGAGAGGUGAGUGGAACUGCGAGUGUAGAGGUGAAAUUCGUAGAUAUUCGCAAGAACACCAGUAGCGAAGGCGGCUCACUGGCCCGGUACUGACGCUGAGGUGCGAAAGCGUGGGGAGCAAACAGGG
rnacentral:rRNA from 1 species